rnacentral:rRNA from 1 species
AUGGAGUUGAUGGCCUAUUCUUUUUUCAAGGAGUUGUUCACUAGAGACCCAUCUUUGAAUGCAGACGAAAUCAUUAGCCUACUGGAGAAGAAAGUAACGGAUGAGAUGAAUGAUUCACUUUGUAAAGAAUUCUCUGAGGAAGAAAUCUCUGAUGCGCUGUUUCCAAUAGGCCCCCUAAAGGCUCCGGGGUUCCCGGCGCGUUUCUAUCAAAGGAAUUGGGCAGUCUUGAAGGACACGGUUGUUGCGGCGGUCAGACAGGACACAUGCCGUCAGAGACUAACUCCACGGCAAUUGUGUUAA